rnacentral:rRNA from 1 species
CAGCACCGCGGGAAUACGAAGGGUGCAAGCGUUACUCGGAAUUACUGGGCGUAAAGCGUGCGUAGGUGGUGGUUUAAGUCCGUUGUGAAAGCCCUGGGCUCAACCUGGGAACUGCAUUUGAAACUGGCAGGCUAGAGUCUUGUAGAGGGGGGUAGAAUUCCAGGUGUAGCGGUGAAAUGCGUAGAGAUCGGGAGGAACAUCAGUGGCGAAGGCGGCCAUCUGGGACAACACUGACGCUGAGGCACGAAAGCGUGGGGAGCAAACAGGAUUAGAUACCCGCGUAGUCCCUGUCUCUUAUACA